rnacentral:tRNA from 1 species
GCCUGGGUGGCUUAGUUGGCUAAGUGUCUGACUUUGGCUCAGGUCACGAUCUCACGGUUGGUGGGUUCGAGCCCCGCGUCAGGCU